GUCGAAUUUCGAAGAAUUUUCAACUUCGAAAUUUGACCCUUAUUAAAUCUGCCCCACAGUUGAUACAUUUGUUAUCUUUGUCCAAGCUGAGCAGAAUCCCAUUGAAGGCAGCUGUUUGAGUUUAGACAAUAGUUAUUAAUAUUCCACAGAUAAUGCUGAGAAAUGUAUUAACUAAUUAUAUCAACUAAAUGGAGCAAAUUGUCUGAAAACGACUGAACUGAAAAAAAGUGUUUGGAAGGUGAACAACCCCUGAAUGAAAAUAGUACUGAUUAUUUCUGAGUUUAGAAAACAAAAUGUAAGUUAACAUUUUUUGUUCAGUAAAACAAGUUUACUCUCAUGUAUGAGACAUUCAAUAUAACUGCAAUAUAAUUGUAGGUAAAGCCAAGCAAGCAUUCUGCAUUGCUAUUACAAUAUGCAAGCUCUAUGCAAUGUCAUGGGCAUAAGAACUGUUGGCAAUAUGUUUACAUUUGCAUGUACAGUACAUCAAAAAUAUGACAUCCCUUAUUGUAUACAGGAACGGUAGGCUACACAGAGGCGCUCCAUGGCCAUCCAAAUGCAUGUGGCUGCAGGCUUUUUUUUUUAUCAUAUCACCGAACUUGCAAAUUGAUUCUAAUGUCUUUCCCCCAUAUGUAAUAUAAGGCACUAAGUUUGCCAGGAGCAAUAACCCAUGGCAACCAAUACAAUGUUUGCAUUUAAACAGGUGACCAGUAAAUGCUACCUGCUGAUUGGUUGCUAUGGUUUACUGUCCCUGGGCAAACUUCCUGCUUUUUAUUACAUAACCCCAUUUAUGUUUUAAAGUGUUUAGCACCUUAUUUAUUUUGAUAUAAAAGUUUUAGAGUCAUGUUAGCACCAAAAAUGCAGAUGUAAUUGGCAUCUUAAAGGAUAACUAAACCCUAAAAAUGAAUAUGGCUUAAAAUGCCAUAUUUUAUAUAAUGAACUUGUCGCAUCAGCUAAAAUUCAUCUUCUCAUUAGCAGCAAUGAUCCAGGGCUUCAAACUUGUCACAGGGGGUCACCAUCUUGGAAAAUGUCUGCGACACUCACAUACUCAGUGGGCUCUGAGCAGCUGUUGAGAAGCUAAGCUUAAGCAAAUUAUCAAGCAGAAAAUGAGGAGAAUGUUAAAAUGAGAAGACUUUCUGAACAUGGAAUGAUCAUCUAUUUAAAUCUCCAAUAAUUUCAUAUAGCAUUCAUAUAUCAUAAAUCACAAGUGGCGUUGGCUAACAAGAGUUUAACAGUUGGAACAUUCAGUGUAAUAUAUUCAGAGACAGUUAAAAA